AAACUAAAUCAGUCUAAUCGCGCUACCAUGCAGUCGAACGGUAACAGGAAGCAGCUUGCUGCUUUGCUGACGAGUGGCGGACGGGUGAGUAAUGUCUGGGAAACUGCCUGAUGGAGGGGGAUAACUACUGGAAACGGUAGCUAAUACCGCACAACGUCGCAAGACCAAAGAGGGGGACCUUCGGGCCUCUUGCCAUCGGAUGUGCCCAGAUGGGAUUAGCUAGUAGGUGGGGUAACGGCUCACCUAGGCGACGAUCCCUAGUUGGUCUGAGAGGAUGACCUACCACACUGGAACUGAGACACGGUCCAGACUCCUACGGGAGGCCCCUGUGGGGAAUAUUGCACAGGGGGCACAAGCCUGGUGGAACUUUGUCGGGUGUAUGAAGAAGGGAUUGGGGUUGUAAAGUACUUUCAACGAAGCCGAAGGCGACAGGGUUUGUGCGGCCCCCCCUCAAUUUUUCUGGGUUUAAACCUUGCUGCCUUCUUCCCGGCGGGGUCCU
rnacentral:rRNA from 1 species